UACGUAGGGGGCAAGCGUUGUUCGGAAUUACUGGGCGUAAAGGGCGCGUAGGCGGCACGGCAAGUCAGGAGUGAAAGCCCGGGGCUCAACUCCGGAAUUGCCUUUAAGACUGCAUCGCUAGAAUUGUGGAGAGGUAAGUGGAAUUCCGAGUGUAGAGGUGAAAUUCGUAGAUAUUCGGAAGAACACCAGUGGCGAAGGCGACUUACUGGACACAUAUUGACGCUGAGGUGCGAAAGCGUGGGGAGCAAACAGG
rnacentral:rRNA from 1 species